rnacentral:tRNA from 8 species
GGCGAGAUGAUGGAGCGGUCUAACAUGCUGUCUUAAGGCGGCAGUCCUUCGGGGCCUGGGUUCGAAUCCCAGUCUCGUCA